CCUACGGGCGGCAGCAGUGGGGAAUAUUGGACAAUGGGCGAAAGCCUGAUCCAGCCAUGCCGCGUGUGUGAAGAAGGCCUUCGGGUUGUAAAGCACUUUCAGUGGGGAAGAAAGCCUUGGGGCUAAUACCCUCGAGGAAGGACAUCACCCACAGAAGAAGCACCGGCUAACUCCGUGCCAGCAGCCGCGGUAAUACGGAGGGUGCGAGCGUUAAUCGGAAUUACUGGGCGUAAAGCGCGCGUAGGCGGUCUGAUAAGCCGGUUGUGAAAGCCCCGGGCUCAACCUGGGAACGGCAUCCGGAACUGACAGGCUAGAGUGCAGGAGAGGAAGGUAGAAUUCCCGGUGUAGCGGUGAAAUGCGUAGAGAUCGGGAGGAAUACCAGUGGCGAAGGCGGCCUUCUGGACUGACACUGACGCUGAGGUGCGAAAGCGUGGGUAGCAAACAGGAUUAGAUACCCUGGUAGUC
rnacentral:rRNA from 1 species